CUGUGAAAACCCCUAAAUCUGGCUGUUCCUGUUUGGAAGCAGAUGCUGCACUGGUUCAGUCCCAGUGGGCUUUGAUUCUAUUUGAACUGAGCAAAGCUGGCUAUCGUUUGAGUGAUCUUCAGAUAAGCUCUGGGAAAUCAGGCAAGAAUAGUGUUUCGGAUUAUUGAGAAAGACAAAGAAAUUGCUUGAUGUCAGCUUGUUGACGAUGGGCAGACCCUUACUUCUCCUUUCUUCUCCUCCUCAUAAAUGGAACAAGAGAGGUGGUCUUCUGAUUCUCUUUGUGCCCUGGCAAAGGAAAAGGUAGAGAAGAAGGGAGUAAGUGUCAGCUCAGUAAAGCAGAGUGCAAGAGCAAAAAGAAAAAGAGAGAAGAAUCGAGAGAGAAAACAGUCAACAAUAA
rnacentral:lncRNA from 1 species